CCCAGUGUGGCGUAAUGGUUUGCAUGUUGGACUACAGCUCUGGAGACCAGGGUUUAAUUCCCAGCUUGGCCA